rnacentral:rRNA from 1 species
CCAUCAGAACUCCGCAGUUAAGCGUGCUUGGGCGAGAGUAGUACUAGGAUGGGUGACCUCCUGGGAAGUCCUCGCGUUGCACUCCU